UACGAAGGGGGCGAGCGUUGUUCGGAUUUACUGGGCGUAAAGGGCGCGCAGGCGGCCGCAUUUGUCAGGCGUGAAAGCCCCGGGCUUAACCUGGGAACUGCGUUUGAUACGGUGUGGCUAGAGUUCGGGAGAGGAGAGUGGAAUUCCCAGUGUAGAGGUGAAAUUCGUAGAUAUUGGGAAGAACACCGGUGGCGAAGGCGGCCUGCUGGGCAGUUGCUGACACUGAGGCGCGACAGCGUGGGGAGCAAACAGG
rnacentral:rRNA from 1 species